GGGGAGAGCCCAGCGCUGCGCACCAGGUUCUACAGCUUCCUCCGCGCCUUCCUCCUCCUUUCUGUGCUCCUCCUCGCCGCCGACGUCGCCGCACACGCCCAGGGUUGGCACCUCGCCGCGCUCCCCGACCUGGAGGCCGUCAAGGGCCUCUUCGCCACCGUCUGCUCAUCCUGGAUGCGCGCACGCGCCGCCUACCUAGGCCCGGCCCUGCAGUUCCUCACCAACGCCUGUGUCGCCCUCUUCAUGAUCCAGAGCGUCGAACGCCUCAUCCUCUGCCUCGGCUACUUCUGGGUUAAGCUCAGGAGAAUCAUUGAGGUGACAGGGCGACCGCCGCACCGAGAGAAGAAAGCGGCGGGGAGAACAACUCGAAAACAGUCGUUGACAAGGAACGAAUCGGCAUGCAAAAACGCUAGGUUCACACGUGAAGACGUUAAGGAAAUUCAUAGUUAA
rnacentral:rRNA from 1 species